GCAUAUCAAUAAGCGGAGGAAAAGAAACCAACAGGGAUUGCCCUAGUAACGGCGAGUGAAGCGGCAACAGCUCAAAUUUGAAAUCUGGCGCAAGCCCGAGUUGUAAUUUGUAGAGGAUGCUUUCUGGGUAGCGACCGAUCUAAGUUCCUUGGAACAGGACGUCAUAGAGGGUGAGAAUCCCGUAUGUGACCGGCCCGCACCCUUUACGUAGCUCCUUCGACGAGUCGAGUUGUUUGGGAAUGCAGCUCUAAAUGGGAGGUAAAUUUCUUCUAAAGCUAAAUACCGGCCAGAGACCGAUAGCGCACAAGUAGAGUGAUCGAAAGAUGAAAAGUACUUUGGAAAGAGAGUUAAAAAGCACGUGAAAUUGUUGAAAGGGAAGCGCCUGCAACCAGACUUCGCGGCAGUGUUCCGCCGGUCUUCUGACCGGUUCAUUCUCUGUCGCGAGGCCAUCAUCGUCUGGGCCCGCCGGAUAAGACCUGAGGAAUGUGGCUCCCCCUCGGGGGAGUGUUAUAGCCUCUGGUGAUGCGGCGUGGCUCGGGCGAGGUCCGCGCUUCGGCAAGGAUGAUGGCGUAAUGGUUGUCGGCGGCCCGUCUUGAAACACGGACCAAGGAGUCUAACAUCUAUGCGAGUGUUCGGGUGUCAAACCCCUACGCGUAAUGAAAGUGAACGGAGGUGGGAACCGCAAGGUGCACCAUCGACCGAUCCUGAUGUCCUCGGAUGGAUUUGAGUAAGAGCAUAGCUGUUGGGACCCGAAAGAUGGUGAACUAUGCCUGAAUAGGGGUGAAGCCAGAGGAAACUCUGGUGGAGGCUCGCAGCGGUUCUGACGUGCAAAUCGAUCGUCAAAUUUGGGGUAUAGGGGGCGAAAGACUAAUCGAAACCAUCUAGUAGCUGGUUUCUGCGAG
rnacentral:rRNA from 1 species